rnacentral:lncRNA from 1 species
CGGAGUGUCUGCCGCCAGGUUUCCGGCUGUAGAGCUGAGGUCGCUGGCGGCCGGGGUCCCGACGCCAGGUUGCGGCGAGCGGGGCGGUUCCGGAGCAUCCCCUAUGCGGAGCGCGGCCUGGCGAGGCGUCACCCCGGGAGCCCCGAGCCCGAGGAGAUCUCCUGGAGACUGCACCCAUCCUGGGGAGAAGAGCCCAAAAAGAGAACAUGGCUCCUGAGCAAAGGGAAUCAAGGUCUCAGGUAUCGGUAACAUUUGAGGAUGUGGCUGUGCUCUUUACUCGGGAUGAGUGGAGAAAGCUGGAUCCUUCCCAGAGAAGCUUGUACCGGGAGGUGAUGCUGGAGAACUGUAGUAACCUGGCCUCACUGGGACCCCCAUUCACCAAACCAAAGGUGAUCUCCCUGUUGCAACAAGGAGAAGAUCCCUGGAAGGUAGAGAAAGAAAGUCCCGGAGACUCUUCUCUCGGAUAUAAGAGCAGUCUUCAAACCACAAAGUCAACUCAAACUAAAGACUUCACAUUUCAAGGGCUGAGGAGGAAAAGACUAAAAAGGGAUGAACUCUGGGACGUUAUAUCAGAGAAACCCUGUAUAUCUGAAAACAGGUUAAAAAGACAGCAAGACAAAAAUGAAAGCUUAAAAAUAUUUUCAGUUACCCAUAAGAAAAUUCUUACUAUAGACAAAAGCCAUAAAAAUUUUGAAUUUGGCCAAAAUGUCAGCCUAAAAUCAGUCAUAUUUAAGAAACAAAGGAUUUCUAGAGAAAGAACACCCUUAACGUAUGAAAUACAAAGAAAUAAUUUCAAACAGAAUGCAAAUUUACUUAACCAACCAAAAAUCAAGACAGCAGAGAAACGCUAUAAAUGUAAUAGAUGUGAAAAAGCUUUCAUUCACAAUUCAUCCCUUCGUAAACAUCUGAAAAAUCACACUGGAGAGAAAU